GCUCAGUUGGUUAAACGUCCAACUCUUGACUUAGGCUCAGGUCAUGAUCUCAGGGUUGUGAGAUCAAGUCCCACACUGAGCU
rnacentral:tRNA from 1 species